rnacentral:piRNA from 1 species
UGAGAGGGGACAGCUGAGACAUGAGGG